UGAUUUAUAAUUUAGUGGAUAAGAUGGACGAAAAUGGCAUGUGAGGUGUUGUUAAAUUUCAGUGAAAUGUUUGGUUACACUAGCCAUCUAGGAUGGGAGGCUGCAUAGGCAUAACGAGGGCAAGAAAUGCCUCUGUCGACAACAGUACGGGAAAUUCUACGAGAGUAAAUUCAGGAAAUUCAAGGAAGAAUCAUCCAUUAUGCCAUGAGGCAAUUAGGUGGAAAUCAGAUGUACCUUUGACAGAAGGACAGCUAAGAAGUAAAAGAGAUGAAUUUUGGGAUACUGCACCUGCAUUUGAUGGACGUAAAGAAAUAUGGGAUGCAUUAAGAGCUGGGGCAACGGCAGCAGAGGCCCAGGAUUAUCAAUUAGCACAGGCUAUAUUAGAUGGAGCUAAUAUUUCUGUGCCAAAUGGUUUUUUAACAGAAUGUUAUGAUGAAUUGGGAACCAGAUAUCAAGUCCCUAUUUAUUGUUUAUCAUAUCCUAUUAAUAUUGUAAAAGAAGAUAGUGGAAGAGAUUCUCCUGCUGAUUGUUCAGAACCUAUUGAUAGUGGAGUUGAGCAGACAUUGAAGCUGAGAUUAUCAACUACAUUAGGAGAAGUUAAAUUGCCUGUUUACAGUAAGGACACUAUAGCUACUGCUAAAAAGAAAUUGCAGAGUCAGGAAGGUCUUGAACCAUCUCGUCAAAGGUGGUUUUUUGGUGGAAAGUUAUUAGGUGAUAAAAUGCAUAUAGAAGAAGCAAAGAUACAACCAGGUUAUGUAAUACAAGUAAUUGUAAAUCCAGAAAAAUUGGAUGACAGUCCUGUGAAAACAAGUUGAGCUAAUAUUAUACAAGAUAUACAAGUCAUAUUGAACCAUCUUUCUCUGAUAAGCACAUUCUUACCUGCAUUCGAACUCAAAAGAAAAAUACAGUGCUAAAUACAUGCCGAAAUAAUCUCUUAAAGAGUCCUUAUUAACAUUGGUUUAUUAACAUAAAUUACAUACUUAUACAAAAAGAAGUAUAAACACGAUUGGUAAUUAAUAACAUUUACCUAAUAGCAGGAAUGUUGUUAUACUAAUUUGUUACUACCAACGAAGGUGCUGGUGCUGUAACACUUGGGAAACUAAGUAUACAUGUAGAAAAUUAUUCUAUGCUGCUUAUUAAACCAUGUUGCAUAAUUAUAUGAUAUAAGAAUAAAAACAUACACUUAAAAAAAAGAUUAUAAUAAUAACAAUAAUAAUAAUAAGAAAAUUACGGAAAUAUUGAUGAAUAUAAAAAUACAAUGGACAAUAGUGAAAAAAUGAACAAGGUAUAUGCUGAUUAUUAAAUUGCAUUCUUUUGUUGUGUUUCUUACAGAUUUUAUUUUCUAGGCUUUUUGGAUUUAUAAUUAAUAACUAUAAUUUUUCUAAGGAUAAAUCAAUAGAAAAGAUUAUUAACAACCUUUGUUGCAUAAUGUGUGAAAUAUACAGUUCAAUGAUGUUUUUCUUUUGAUCGAAUUCAUUAAACUUUUGUAAAUGUAUUGUGAAUGUCUAUAAGACAUAAGUUUGAAUUAUUUCACAAAAGUACAUGUUUGGCCUAUUAGUGGCCUAAAAUCUUCGAUUCCUUCCUAUAAGUACUAAUAAGAUAUUAUAUAAGGUCUACAUAGCUGAAUAAUGCACGAGAAAAGAUGUAAGACUAAUAAUUAAAUUACAUGUGGUGCAGAACGUAUAAUUUUUAUACAAUUUUAUCAGCACAAUCACUUUCACAUCUGUGUUAUAUGUGCUUAUGAUAAAAUGAUCAACACAGUAAAAUCAAUAUUGCUAGUUCAAUUUUAAUAGCACCUAAUUCUUACUUCUGCCCCACAUGUUACACAGAAAGCAAAAAUGAUAUAAAGUAUAAUUAUAAAAAAUGACAUAUUAUGCGUGUGAAUUUAUUGACUGUACUAACACAGCAGUGAUAAAGUUUGUUUUUCAUAUGCAUUGAUCAUAAAAUUAUAAUAUAUAGUAUUGCGUGUGCGUGUAUGUAUAAUACGUAAUAUAUUAAAUAUGUAUGUAUACAGGUACAUACGUUGGUUCCACUAUUCUCAAUUUGAGUGUCAAAGCAAACAUAUUUAAUCUUAUAAGUAACUUAUUUAUAAAUUGGGUAAUUGCAUACAAGUUAUAAUGACAAAAAAAUGACUGGAAGCAACCACUAAAAGAUAUGAACAUAAGCGUAUAAAACCCUGUUCAUAUAAAAAAAAUGAAAUCUUGUGUUAACUAUGCAUUUCCUUGACAUAUUAUAAAAAUUAGUGCAAAUAAAGGGAGCACUUGUUUUAAAUUUAAGAGUUUCAGAUA